AGCCACAGCCGUUUGUAAAAAAUCAAGGGAGAAUGGAAGAAGAGCCUAUAUAUGAGGACAUGGCAACCGAGGAACAGCCGCAGGAUAGCGAUGUUGAAAACCAACCUAUGGACCCCGAGUUGUGGAAAGAUGGCGAUAUUGUUACGAUAACCAAGCCUGGGCCGUACAAGAUUACUGCUUUGGUGUGUAACAAACUGCCAACAGUUGCAGAGACAGAAACACCCGAGGAGGCUGCUGAAACUAUGAUUGACGAAGGUGAUUCAGAAACAAAGGACACAAACGGGGUGUCAAUAGUAAAACCCAAAGAACACUACA